GUGGCCCUUCUCUGAGCUCAGGGUCUGCCCCGGCACAAGCCUCAGUGUUUCCUGAGCUGCUAACAGGCCUUCAUUCCUAUUGUGAAUGUAAUAUGGUUUUGAAUAGUUUUAUAAUACACGUCUAAGAAUUAAGAUUUUGUGGAAGUUUGAGGAAAAAGGAAGACUAAAAUUUCAUCCAACAGAUGAGCUGGUUUUGGUUAACUGAUAGGCUGUAACAGCAGGGAUGCCAGCAGAAAGGAGCUAUGGCUCAUACAUUUUCACCUACAUUUUCCAUAACUUUAUAGUGUGGCCAUCGUGACUAAAUUAACCACAGUUUGGUAUCUGAGUCUCAAACUGAAGAUUAUUUUUAUAAAUGAAUUUUAAAAGAAAAACCUUGGCUGUUUUAAAAUCUCAAGAAAAUGAACCUGCUGCCAUGCAUAAUUUUUUGAUGCUUUUGCACUAGGUAUCUUGUAAAUGUCACUGCAUUUCUGAUGAAGGGCGACUGACAGGUAGAGGUAGUAUUGUGUGUCUGAAAUUGUUCAGCUCCUAUGACGCACCAUGGGCUGCCCUCAUUUCCAUAUGCUUAGAAAUAACUGGGCAAUCAAAUUACCACUAAUGUUUGGGAAAUGAGUGAAGGCACAUGCACAGUGUAACUCCUGAAAGCUCUGACAAACCACCCUCAUUACCACCACUGAUGACAUCUCCAUUUGAUAAAAGGCAUGCCAGUCGCAUUUCACCAUCAUUAAGAUACAGUAACAUUUCCCAUUAAAUUGACAACGACACCUCAGAAAUAUUCCAGUAGUCAUUUCUAAUGCAUUGAAAUUUAUAGUUUAGUAAAUGCCUUUAAAUUACUUAUACUGACGAAAUAAACUUUACCAGUUGACUAACGUAAUGCAUGUUAGUAGUUCAUCUGUACUGCAUGUAGAAGUGGGCCGCCAGAAAACCCUUACAGUCCAGCUGUUUUUAAGACUAAGAGCUGUAAAAAUUGCAGUGUGUGAAUCCCAUUUAUACAGUUUUCCCUGAGACCACCAGAACGUUACACCACAGUUAGAUAGGACCACCACUGCUAUGGCUCCAGGCAUACAUACAUUCCAGACUGGUUUCCUGGAAGGAAGCAAGAAAGAAGGAAUACACCUGUGUGGCUUUAUAAGCAUGCACAUAGGGUAGCAUGCUUCUGUAAAAUGAUGAUUAAUUAGCAUUUGACUUCCCACAUAAGACACUGAGCCCACCACUCCAUAAGUCACAGGUCACAUUCACAAGUCAGUGAUCUAGUAAAUGUCACAGAUUGGACCUCAUUCCUUCAGCCUCACAGUACUGUGCAUAGUGUUUGGGCAUUAGGACCCCUUUACCAGAACAUCAGGAUAUAAAUUUUCCAGCACAUUAAUGGGAUUUGCCAAGUGUGUUAAGAGUUCAAGUGUAUACCAUGCCCAGUAAACAACCUGCAGGAAGUAGUGGGGAAAAAGGGCACGAGACAAGGUAGAAAGUAUAGAAAUAAAAUUAGCAUUGUUUGGGAGACACCAAAAAAGACAUGUGCAAGACUGGCUCUUCCCCCCACGCCCCAAGCACUCAUACCAAGCUAGGAUUCCAUAGGCUAGGGCUUUGGGCCAGGGAGCUGAUGCUGCUGGUGUGACUUGGUUUAAAAGUCCUAGCUGACACGGUUCAAGCUUCCUGUUCCUCCAGCCACCUUGUGCAGGACCGUUUGUCCUGCUUUCCUGCUGUGUUGCUCUCUUAGUUUGACAUUUGUUUAUGGCUGACCCCAGAGUCUGAUGCAUCUCCUGAAUCGAUCUGAAUGUCCCUCCUGACCCCUCCAGGUGUGAGCACCAGCCAUUGGUCCCACAGACCUUGAGGUCAGAGUAUGUAAAAAUGCUUGUAAAUAUUGUAACAUACUCAUUAAUAUUUGAAAGUCAUUCUGUCAUUGGCAAUGGAAAUUAAUUCUCCCAAGAUAAGCAAAAAUUAAAUAAUUGAUUUUGCACAUUGACUUAAUGACCUUAAUUACUUGAUUUCAAGUCUCAGCCCUUUAAAAUUAAACCCAAAAGUUAUUAUACAGUCAUUCUAAAAAUGAUGUUUUGAAGAGAUAUGUGGUUAAUACCGUGAACUCACGCCAUGAAAUCUGUAAGGUUUUUAUUUUUCUAACUGUACUAAUGGAGGACUAAACUUGAGGUAUGAAUGUAGGAGACAUGGAAGUUUUUAAAUUAUGUUGCUAUUUGUUCAAAUAAAACAGAAAUUUUGCACAUUG
rnacentral:lncRNA from 1 species